rnacentral:rRNA from 1 species
AAUCUUCCGCAAUGGACGCAAGUCUGACGGAGCAACGCCGCGUGAGUGAUGAAGGUCUUCGGAUCGUAAAACUCUGCUGUUAGGGAAGAACAAGUAUCGGAGUCACUGCCGGUACCUUGACGGUACCUGCCUCGACAGCCACGGCUAACUACGUGCCAGCAGCCGACGUAAUACGUAGGUGGCAAGCGUUGUCCGGAUCUAUUGGGCGUAAAGCGCGCGCAGGCGGUCUUUUAAGUCUGAUGUGAAAUCUUACAGCUUAACUGUAAGCGGGCAUUGGAAACUGGGAGUCUUGAGUGCAGAAGAGGAGAGUGGAAUUCCAUGUGUAGCGGUGAAAUGCGUAGAGAUAUGGAGGAACACCAGUGGCGAAGGCGACUCUCUGGUCUGCAACUGACGCUGAGGCGCGAAAGCGUGGGGAUCAAACA